AUUGAACGCUGGCGGCAGGCCUAACACAUGCAAGUCGAGCGGAUGAAGGGAGCUUGCUCCCGGAUUCAGCGGCGGACGGGUGAGUAAUGCCUAGGAAUCUGCCUGGUAGUGGGGGAUAACGUCCGGAAACGGGCGCUAAUACCGCAUACGUCCUGAGGGAGAAAGUGGGGGAUCUUCGGACCUCACGCUAUCAGAUGAGCCUAGGUCGGAUUAGCUAGUUGGUGGGGUAAAGGCCUACCAAGGCGACGAUCCGUAACUGGUCUGAGAGGAUGAUCAGUCACACUGGAACUGAGACACGGUCCAGACUCCUACGGGAGGCAGCAGUGGGGAAUAUUGGACGAUGGGCGAAAGCCUGAUCCAGCCAUGCCGCGUGUGUGAAGAAGGUCUUCGGAUUGUAAAGCACUUUAAGUUGGGAGGAAGGGCAGUAAGUUAAUACCUUGCUGUUUUGACGUUACCAACAGAAUAAGCACCGGCUAACUUCGUG
rnacentral:rRNA from 1 species